GAUGAACGCUGGCGGCGUGCCUAAUACAUGCAAGUCGAGCGCGAGAGUGAGGAGCUUGCUCCUCAUAAUCGAGCGGCGGACGGGUGAGUAACACGUAGGCAACCUACCCUUGAGAUUGGGAUAACUACCGGAAACGGUAGCUAAUACCGGAUACGACUUUUCCACACAAGUGGAAUGGUUAAAAGGCGGAUUUAUCUGCCGCUCAUGGAUGGGCCUGCGGUGCAUUAGCUAGUUGGUGAGGGAGUGGCUCACAAAGGCGACGAUGCAUAGCCGACCGGAGAGGGUGAUCGGCCACACUGGGACUGAGACACGGCCCAGACUCCUACGGGAGGCAGCAGUAGGGAAUCUUCCGCAAUGGACGCAAGUCUGACGGAGCAACGCCGCGUGAGUGAUGAAGGGUUUCGGCUCGUAAAACUCUGUUGUUAAGGAAGAACACUUGAGGUAGUAACUGGCCUUGAGAUGACGGUACUUAACCAGAAAGCCACGGCUAACUACGUGCCAGCAGCCGCCGCAG
rnacentral:rRNA from 1 species